rnacentral:rRNA from 1 species
AUUGAACGCUGGCGGCAUGCCUUACACAUGCAAGUCGAACGGCAGCACGGGAGCAAUCCUGGUGGCGAGUGGCGAACGGGUGAGUAAAGUAUCGGAACGUGCCCAGUCGUGGGGGAUAACGUAGCGAAAGUUACGCUAAUACCGCAUACGAUCUAUGGAUGAAAGCGGGGGAUCGCAAGACCUCGCGCGAUUGGAGCGGCCGAUAUCAGAUUAGGUUGUUGGUGGGUAAAGGCUCACCAAGCCGACGAUCUGUAGCUGGUCUGAGAGGACGACCAGCCACACUGGGACUGAGACACGGCCCAGACUCCUACGGGAGGCAGCAGUGGGGAAUUUUGGACAAUGGGCGAAAGCCUGAUCCAGCCAUGCCGCGUGCAGGAUGAAGGCCUUCGGGUUGUAAACUGCUUUUGUACGGAACGAAAAGGUUUGGCCUAAUAAGCUGAGCUCAUGACGGUACCGUAAGAAUAAGCACCGGCUAACUACGUGCCAGCCGCCGCAGUAA